rnacentral:rRNA from 1 species
AUCUGGGCGGCGAAAUUCAGGACGACUGGCGGGUCUCGCGCACGUCCGGUCGUUUGAUAUUUUCGCCGCCGCGUCAGACGUCGCGACCUGUUCGUCCGUCGGUCCCUGCUCGGAGGAAUCGCGAUCGAGUUCGUUGUGGGUGCGUUUCGGCGUGCCACACGGUGAAGACGCGAAUCUCUGGCCGACGACGGACAGUAAGCAGCGGUGUACGGCGUCGUGUCACGCGGCGUCGUUGCCGGUCGGCGACGAUUUCUUCGGGCCUCUUUCCGACCCGUCUUGAAACACGGACCAAGGAGUCUAACAUGCGCGCGAGUCGCGGGGUAUCGAGCGUAUCACGGUGCGCUCGUUACGUGACGAAACCCGUAAUGUUGAAGGCGUAAUGAAAGUGAAUGGGGAAGAUGGUGUUCCGAGUUCACGUUCCGUGAUCCAGUAUCGCGGCCGGACGCCCGCAUUCCCGGGGCGUCUCAAUAGUUCGUCGCGGAUGCGGACGGUCGUCUCUCGGGGUGGCCGUCGGUCUGCGACGGACUGA